UGGCGGCAGGCUUAACACAUGCAAGUCGAGCGGUAGCAGAUCUAGCUUGCUAGAUGCUGACGAGCGGCGGACGGGUGAGUAACGCGUAGGAACCUGCCCAGUAGUGGGGGAUAGCCCGGGGGAAACUCGGAUUAAUACCGCAUACGCUCUACGGAGGAAAGAGGGGGCUUCGGCUCUCGCUAUUGGAUGGGCCUGCGUGAGAUUAGCUAGUUGGUGAGGUAAUGGCUCACCAAGGCGACGAUCUCUAGCUGGUCUGAGAGGAUGAUCAGCCACACUGGGACUGAGACACGGCCCAGACUCCUACGGGAGGCAGCAGUGGGGAAUAUUGCACAAUGGGCGCAAGCCUGAUGCAGCCAUGCCGCGUGCGUGAAGAAGGCUUUCGGGUUGUAAAGCACUUUCAGUGGGGAGGAAGGCCUCGUAGUUAAUAGCUGCGAGGAUUGACGUUACCCACAGAAGAAGCACCGGCUAACUCCGUG
rnacentral:rRNA from 1 species